rnacentral:rRNA from 1 species
GACGGAGGGUGCAAGCGUUGCUCGGAAUCACUGGGCGUAAAGGGUGCGUAGGCGGUCUCGCAAGUCUGGCGUGAAAGCCCAAGGCUCAGCCUUGGAAGUGCGCUCGAAACGGCGAGGCUGGAGUGCCGGAGGGGAGAGUGGAAUUCCCGGUGUAGCGGUGAAUGCGUAGAGAUCGGGAGGAAUACCGGUGGCGAAGGCGGCGACCUGGGUCGAGACUGGACGCUGAGGCGCGAAAGCGUGGGGAGAAACAGG